CCUGGGAACUGCGUUNUGAACUGGGUGACUAGAGUGUGUCAGAGGGAGGUAGAAUUCCACGUGUAGCAGUGAAAUGCGUAGAGAUGUGGAGGAAUACCGAUGGCGAAGGCAGCCUCCUGGGAUAACACUGACGUUCAUGCUNGAAAGCGUGGGUAGCAAACAGGAUUAGAUACCCUGGUAGUCCACGCCCUAAACGAUGUCAAUCAGCUGUUGGGCAACUUGAUUGCUUAGUAGCGUAGCUAACGCGUGAAAUUGACCGCCUGGGGAGUACGGUCGCAAGAUUAAAACUCAAAGGAAUUGACGGGGACCCGCACAAGCGGUGGAUGAUGUGGAUUAAUUCGAUGCAACGCGAAGAACCUUACCUGGUCUUGGCAUGUACGGAAUCCUCCAGAGACGGAGGAGAGCCUUCGGGAGCCGUAACACAGGUGCUGCAUGGCUGUCGUCAGCUCGUGUCGUGAGAUGUUGGGUUAAGUCCCGCAACGAGCGCAACCCUUGUCAUUAGUUGCCAUCAUUUAGUUGGGCACUCUAAUGAGACUGCCGGUGACAAGCCGGAGGAAGGUGGGGAUGACGUCAAGUCCUCAUGGCCCUUAUGACCAGGGCUUCGCACGUCAUACAAUGGUCGGUACAGAGGGUAGCCAAGCCGCGAGGUGGAGCCAAUCUCACAAAACCGAUCGUAGUCCGGAUUGCACUCUGCAACUCGAGUGCAUGAAGUCGGAAUCGCUAGUAAUCGCAGGUCAGCAUACUGCGGUGAAUACGUUCCCGGG
rnacentral:rRNA from 1 species